rnacentral:rRNA from 1 species
UACGUAGGAGGCGAGCGUUGUCCGGAGUUACUGGGCGUAAAGAGCUCGUAGGCGGUUUGUCGCGUCUGCUGUGAAAACUCGGGGCUUAACUCCGGGCCUGCAGUGGGUACGGGCAGACUAGAGUGCGGUAGGGGAGACUGGAAUUCCUGGUGUAGCGGUGAAAUGCGCAGAUAUCAGGAGGAACACCGGUGGCGAAGGCGGGUCUCUGGGCCGUAACUGACGCUGAGGAGCGAAAGCGUGGGGAGCGAACAGG